rnacentral:rRNA from 1 species
AGUGAACGCUGGCGGUAGGCCUAACACAUGCAAGUCGAACGGCAGCACAGUAAGAGCUUGCUCUUACGGGUGGCGAGUGGCGGACGGGUGAGGAAUACAUCGGAAUCUACUUUUUCGUGGGGGCUAACGUAGGGAAACUUACGCUAAUACCGCAUACGACCUACGGGUGAAAGCAGGGGAUCUUCGGACCUUGCGCGAUUGAAUGAGCCGAUGUCGGAUUCGCUAGUUGGCGGGGUAAAGGCCUACCAAGGCGACGAUCCGUAGCUGGUCUGAGAGGAUGAUCAGCUACACGGGAAGUGAGACAGGGCCCCGACUCCUACGGGAGGCAGCAGUGGGGAAUACUGGACAAUGGAGGAAAGGGGAAUACAGCAAUACCGGGUAGGUGAAGAAGGCGUUAGGCUUGUUAAGCCAUGUUGUUGGGAGAGAAGAGCAGCAGUUUUAUACCGCACUGUUCUGACGGUACCGAAAGAAUAAGCACCGGCUAACUUCGUG